rnacentral:rRNA from 1 species
ACGAACGCUGGCGGCGUGCUUAACACAUGCAAGUCGAACGGUGAAGCGCCUUCCUUUUUGGUGGGUGUGGAUGAGUGGCGAACGGGUGAGUAACACGUGAGUAACCUGCCCCCUUCUUCUGGAUAACCGCAUGAAAGUGUGGCUAAUACGGGAUAUUCUGGGUCUGUCGCAUGAUGGGUCUGGGAAAGAUAUUGUUUCGGUGGGGGAUGGGCUCGCGGCCUAUCAGCUUGUUGGUGGGGUGAUGGCCUACCAAGGCGGUGACGGGUAGCCGGCCUGGGAGGGUGGACGGUCACACUGGGACUGAGACACGGCCCAGACUCCUACGGGAGGCAGCAGUGGGGAAUAUUGCACAAUGGGGGCAAGCCUGAUGCAGCAUGGCCGCGUGAGGGAUGGAGGCCUGCGGGUUGUGAACCUCUUUCGCCAGUGAAGCAGGCCUGCCUCGUUUGUGGGUGGGUUGACGGUAGCUGGAUAAGAAGCGCCGGCUAACUCCGUG